rnacentral:rRNA from 1 species
UACGUAGGGGGCGAGCGUUGUCCGGAUUUAUUGGGCGUAAAGAGCGUGUAGGCGGCCAGGUAGGUCUGCUGUGAAAACUCGAGGCUCAACCUCGAGACGUCGGCGGAAACCAUCUGGCUAGAGUCCGGAAGAGGAGAGUGGAAUUCCUGGUGUAGCGGUGAAAUGCGCAGAUAUCAGGAAGAACACCCGUGGCGAAGGCGGCUCUCUGGGACGGUACUGACGCUGAGACGCGAAAGCGUGGGGGAGCGAACAGG